AAGUCGUAACAAGGUUUCCGUAGGUGAACCUGCGGAAGGAUCAUUAUUGAAUUAUGUUUCUAGAUGGGUUGUAGCUGGCUCUUCGGAGCAUGUGCACGCCUGUUUGGAUUUCAUUUUCAUCCACCUGUGCACCUAUUGUAGUCUUUGGUUUGGUAUGGAGGAAGUGGUCAGCCUCUCAGCAUUCGCUGGAUGUGAGGAAUUGCAGUGUGAAAACAUUGCUGUCCUUUACUUGGCCAUGGAGUCUUUUGCCUGUCAAAGUCUAUGUUAAUCAUUAUACCCUAUCGAAUGUUAUUGAAUGUCUUUACAUGGGCUUCUAUGCCUAUGAAAAUUGUAAUACAACUUUCAGCAACGGAUCUCUUGGCUCUCGCAUCGAUGAAGAACGCAGCGAAAUGCGAUAAGUAAUGUGAAUUGCAGAAUUCAGUGAAUCAUCGAAUCUUUGAACGCAUCUUGCGCUCCUUGGUAUUCCGAGGAGCAUGCCUGUUUGAGUGUCAUUAAAUUCUCAACUCUCUUAUACUUUGUUGUAAAGGAGGGCUUGGAUUGUGGAGGUCUGCUGGCCACUUGUUGGGGUCAGCUCCUCUGAAAUGCAUUAGCGGAACCGUUUGCGAUCUGCCACAAGUGUGAUAAGUUAUCUACACUGGCGAGGGGAUUGCUCUCUGUUGUUCAGCUUCUAAUCGUCUCAACGAGACAAUUUCUUGAAUGCUUGACCUCAAAUCAGGUAGGACUACCCGCUGAACUUAAGCAUAUCAAUAAGCGGAGGAAAAGAAACUAACAAGGAUUCCCCUAGUAACUGCGAGUGAAGCGGGAAAAGCUCAAAUUUAAAAUCUGGCGGUCUCUGGCCGUCCGAGUUGUAAUCUAGAGAA
rnacentral:misc_RNA from 1 species